rnacentral:ncRNA from 1 species
UGAUAGCGUAGAAGCGUGAGGUUGCUACCUAAUAUGGUAGGUUUUCCGUGGAGCGAAUGUCAAGUUAAGAAACUGACGACAA